GAUCUUGGUUCAGGAUGAACGCUAGCGACAGGCUAACACAUGCAAGUCGAGGGGCAGCACGGGAGUAGCAAUACUUGGUGGCGACCGGCGCACGGGUGAGUAACGCGUAUGCAACCUACCUAUCAGAGGGGAAUAACCCGGCGAAAGUCGGACUAAUACCGCAUAAAACGGGGGCACCGCAUGGUGAUAUUUGUUAAAGAAAUUCGCUGAUAGAUGGGCAUGCGUUCCAUUAGGUAGUUGGUGAGGUAACGGCUCACCAAGCCGACGAUGGAUAGGGGAACUGAGAGGUUGGUCCCCCACACUGGUACUGAGACACGGACCAGACUCCUACGGGAGGCAGCAGUGAGGAAUAUUGGUCAAUGGGCGGGAGCCUGAACCAGCCAAGUCGCGUGAAGGAAGAAGGAUCUAUGGUUCGUAAACUUCUUUUGCAGGGGAAUAAAGUGCAGGACGUGUCCUGUUUUGUAUGUACCCUGAGAAUAAGGAUCGGCUAACUCCGUGCCAGCCGCCGC
rnacentral:rRNA from 1 species